UACGUAGGGGGCGAGCGUUGUCCGGAUUUAUUGGGCGUAAAGAGCUCGUAGGCGGUUUGGCAAGUCGGGUGUGAAAACUCCGGGCUCAACUCGGAGACGCCACUCGAUACUGCUAUGACUCGAGUCCGGUAGGGGAGUGCGGAAUUCCUGGUGUAGCGGUGAAAUGCGCAGAUAUCAGGAGGAACACCGGUGGCGAAGGCGGCACUCUGGGCCGGUACUGACGCUGAGGAGCGAAAGCAUGGGGAGCGAACAGG
rnacentral:rRNA from 1 species